CCACAUAUAUUUAUCCAUGACCUACCAAACUUGUGCCACUUUAUUUCUCUAUGUAUCAUACAAACUAGUGGAAAGGAAGAAGAAGCUCAAGAGAAGAAGAGGAAAUAAGCUAGUGGGGGAGAAGAAGGAGGAAGAAAAGCUUGGAAUCCAUCAUCACUUCAUCACCAUCACAUCUCAUCAUCUUCUUCAAACUCCUCUUCCAUUUCUUAAGGUAGUUCGGAGCAGGCGAAGGGUAAUGACAAGAUAGAGUGAUGUCUUUCUUACCCGAUGUUUUGAUUGGCUACUCCACUUUGUAGAUAUUUUUGAGAUCAUUCUAUAAUGAUCUAGCUCCUAGUUUUUAUUUUGGGCACUUUUGUGUAUGUUUUGUGUCAUGUAGUGUUUCCUUUUGGGCAUGUAAAUAUGUACACUAUGCCGCUAGGCGCUUAUUUAUUUCAGUACCAGUAUUACACUAUGUAUAAUAUGUAUUCUAGACAUAUAUUAUAUGUGGGUGUUACAAUU